UGAUCAUAUGGUGAAUCAAGGAUCAUUUCUUGAAAAAGGUCAAGAACCCACUGUGUGGAUUGCAUAGUAAACAAGACUGUAGAUUCCCAGGAAAACUGAAUCAGUUGCACUGUGGUGCACCUGAAGAGGGCUGUAAGGAAGCAAGGCAGAGCGAGCCAGUGGACAGGAGAGACCAUGAAAAAAUCACAGUGGAAUUAGGUAUUAGCCAUGGAACUGGCUGCACUACCCUGAAGGGGUCUGACGCAGAGUUCUGUGAAGGUGAUGGAACAACAGAGAACUGGAGAAGAGGCUGCAGGCUGCCAUGGUCUCGUCUGUCUGCCCCAGUGUUCCAUGAGGUACAACUGCCCUGGAAGUGGGCAUCUCUGAUUCUGUGUACCUUAUAUGUGAUCUUCAAAUUAGCAUAGAAGUUAUUCCCC
rnacentral:lncRNA from 12 species